rnacentral:misc_RNA from 1 species
GCUUGACCCCAAUCAACCUGGUUAUUCUGUUCCAGCCGCAUGAUAUCUUCUGUGUCUCCAAAUAAGGUAGCCACUACGGAUCUCGAGGGAUUUUUCUUUUGUAAACCACUUUUCUGGAGCAACAUUAAUGCUUCACAAUUCCUCUCAUAAGUCACUGCAUCAGCCAACCCAUGUAUUCGGUCAAUACGCACAUUCUUCCCGAAUAACUUGGAAAAGGUGGGAUCACCAUGGCGAGAUUCCA